AGCUUAUAAGCUUUAAAAGCAUAUAUUUUGAAAAUAUAAGAAAAAGGUUUAAACCUUUAUUAGCUU
rnacentral:tRNA from 1 species